GGUCAGAAUGAAUCCGAUCUAGAAGCUUAUAAAUCUUGAGUAGGACUCUGUUAAAUGAGUGAUAUGAGGUUUUUCUCAGUGGUGGGCGAACCUUCGAAUUGGUUCUUUCUCACUGGAUGUUGUACACCCUCCUUUGCCACACUGAGCGAGAAAGACAUGUGGAAUAUACGUUAUGGCUAUUAGAGACAAUGAGACGGAGAUCGAAGAGAUCUCACACCUGAAUAACAGGGAUUACACGAGGGAUUUCUGAUCUCUUUGUUCACAUCCAGCUAGGAACAAAAAGCCGGCUUACAACCAUCAAGGGCCACAAGCAGUGAAGUCGCUCUCGUUGGAUCUGGAUUUUGUGAAGAAAUGAGUCAAGAAUCACCUCCAGAGUCGGGAUUAGAUUCCAAAAUACCUGUAAUUUCUCACAUUGCAUACGCUCCUUUUAAUUCAAAUGUCCACUUUGAAGCCGGAACUUGACAGUUUUCGUGUUUCUAACUCUUGAAUAGUCAAUGCCAUACCCAACGGGUAGACGAAAGGCUCUGGAGCACUUACAGUAGGCAAGUUCAAACGUGGUACAUGGUCAUGUUUCGGUGCAUCCAUUACGAGACUUGCACUCGUUUGACAGACAGUCAAGUUAUUUAUGACCGGUGACCUCGAGGGUGAUCGUGAAUAGCGACGAAUGACCAGCCCUAUUCCGAGUCCUCAAAUUGGAGUGUCUUCUAAGGCGUGGAAGGGCUUUCUCUAUUAAAGGUGUCGCCUUCAGAAUAGCUCAAGGUAAUCAUGGUGUUCAACACUUUCUAAGAAAAGUAGCGCGACGUUUUAGGGUCAAGGUCAGCUCAGAACAUCUUGGAACAUGAAGUGCGAAGAUAACCGAAUGGGGGGCUCAGUUCGAAUGUUGUUACCCCUAGACUCUUUGUUGUCUCGUGUUGGGUUCCGGUGGAUACUACACGCGAGGACAUCGGCAUGCUCAACACUACCAUAAAAUUUUGAUUUGCCCCAUUUGGAUUGAGCGCCACGGCCAAAGUCAAACAAUAAACACCAGCUGCUACGUUUCAAAUCAGGGCUCCCAUUGAUUGAAUUUCAAGAUGAAUAUUUCUAUAAUUGGGUGGUUGUGAGUCAUUCAUUAUGACAUCUGGAUAGAUCUUGUCCAUAAAUUUGAAAUGUGGCAUGGCGAGUGAACCGAGCGAACGCAUCUCCUUGAAACAAAAGAUGAGCAGCAUUUUUGGUGCCACAAAUUAGACAAUUAGCAACCCUGGAUCGCAGAGUACAGAAUAUGUCUCGACUUCCUGCGGAGUGGCAGACCAAGUUCUUCGUUAGUGGAAGAUAUCUUCUCUCAAGUUCUCUGUGCAAAAGUUUGAUGUCAUCUCAUAUUAUUGGAGGAGGGGAUCCAAACCAAAUGUACCACCUAACCAAGAUGGUCUUGUGGUCUUGUGAACCUCAAAAAGCCAUUAAAGGAGGCCCCUGAUUGCCAUGAAAAGAAAAUGGAUAUGCAAAUGCAAAACAUGGACGACUGAGCACUUGGAAGACUUCAAAGAUGCACGUUAUGGAUUAGUUUCAGUUCGGCUCCAUUUGCUUCUUCCUCCACAAUAAUGGGUUACAUCAUGGGUUUUGGCACAAGCAUUUCGCGUACCUACUGUGGACUUUGAGUCAAGGCUUGGUAGCCAAACGUCUCCUUUGCAAAUUUUCGGGCUACGGCCAAAUUUGUCGUCAUCGUUUCAAUCUAAGAUUUCAUCGUUUUCGGGCGUGAUAUUGUGUAUGAGCGCCAAAUAUGAAGUAGAAGCCGGUAGUUGAACAUGGCCAUUUGCUAUGAUGGGUCUUGACCCCCUAGGGUGGAGCGUCUAUGGAUGCCGAAGUCAUGUCCAAGUCAGCGAUAUACAUCAGACAAUGACAUAGUUUGCCUUGAGGACCUACAACAAGUGCAUUUCCUUUGGGGAAACUAUGCAACUUGACCCAUUCAACUAAUCCUUCCUGAUUAAUUGCAAGGAUGAUUCAACAAUAAGCAAAGGCAAGCCAUACCACGGAGUAUUGGAGAUAAUAUCCAACAUACAGUAUACUCCAAGAAUGAAACCAAAUCCUCGAACUUCCAGACAGUUGGAAAUUCCGAAUAUGUUUGAGCAUCCCUUUGUAUGAUUCACGCCCAAGGAGGGAGAGGCCCAGCCCAAAGUUUUCUCAUCUCCAUCAAGAAUGGAUCGGCAAAUCAGCGUCGGUUUCGUUUUUCUUCCCAAGAUGUUGCAAUCCGAGAUCAGGGAUGCCGACCGAAGAUGUCCUGUUAAAAGACUACCUUUAUGCAAUCAUUCUCUUUUCAAUGUUUUUUUUGUCUUGGUUGUAUCUUGUCGAAUGCUGUAUGAAAUACGAAAAAGGAGACCUGCAAGGAGACCUGCAAGGAGACAUUCUUGGGCCCAUUCCCAUUCGGCAAACCUGGACAGAGUGAAGCAGCGCCCAAGUUGCAGUUAGAGAUGCGUCCUUUGAAGAGGAUUCUUGCCUUGCUUGCUGUCUUAAUCGCAUGAUGACGAAGCUAGCGGGAUGAGACGAGUUGGAUGAUACAUCUUCCCUUCAAGGUGGAUGAAUCUCUUUCUCUACACUUGUCUCUUGGAGCCCACUGCACUGAACCGAGCUCAGCCCAUAACCCAGCCCUGCAGAAAUGCACACACCAAAAAAUCAAUGAGAGUCUUACCAGACCCAAAUCGUUAAGCUCCGUCUUCGUUUCAGUGCUGUGAAGUUCGUCAAACGGCGACUCCAGCCGAUUAACCGGUUGUUGAAAAGAAAUCGAUGCGGACAUACCUGAGUAUUCAAAUUCGUGGUGAAUCCGUCCACGGGCCCUGUAAUUUGCCGAUACUCAAAAACUGUCAUUAAAUUCAAUUCUUUUUCUAAAAUUCGGGCCCUGGAGACAUUUAUCAUCUUAUUGGUCGGCUUACAAGAUGGCUCAGUUUGGUGGUUGGAAUAGUUUGUGAUUUGACUCGUUGUGAAAUAUGGGCUUGGCUGUGGAAGAUGAUGAAUACUAAAUAUGCCCUCUGGUGACAAUUCACCGAUUUCGCUCAUUCCACCCAUUACUCGUCAAGGCAAUUCGGAGAAACUUCUACGUAUAACAGGGUCCUUGGAAGACUAAAGUCACCAGAGAAGACCGGCGUGCGAUUUACUCUCGUAAUGAUCUAACAUUAAUUGCUUAUCGCCAAUAUCAAUUAAGCCACGCCUUGGUGACGUAAAAUA